rnacentral:lncRNA from 1 species
AAAUUAAAUUAUUGAAGCAGAUCAGUUUUCGAAAUAUUUUAGUGGAACCAUUUCUAGGACAAUGGGCAUAAAGCUAUGGUUAGAUCCACAAAUUUCAGAGCAUUGGCCAUAGAAUAACCCUGGUCGGUUUGAUGUUACUGUUGCUUGAUUUAGUCGGCCUGGGAUGGCAUCAGUUUUAAGUCCUAGGGAGGGGACUGCUCAUGAGUGGAGGACG